CAGAGUACCAAUUGGAGGGCAAGUCUGGUGCCAGCAGCCGCGGUAAUUCCAGCUCCAAUAGCGUAUAUUAAACUUGUUGCAGUUAAAAAGCUCGUAGUUGUAUUUCAGCCUCGCGUUUUUUCCCUCUUUUCGGGUCUUUUCGCUGGCUUUGUUUUUACUUUGAGAAAAUUAGAGUGUUUCAAGCAGACUUUUGUCUUGAAUACUUCAGCAUGGAAUAAUAGAGUAGGACCUUGGUUCUAUUUUGUUGGUUUCGAGCCUUGGUAAUGGUUAAUAGGAACGGUUGGGGGCAUUCGUAUUUAACUGUCAGAGGUGAAAUUCUUAGAUUUGUUAAAGACGAACCACUGCGAAAGCAUUUGCCAAGGACGUUUUCAUUAAUCAAGAACG
rnacentral:rRNA from 1 species